AGGCCCUCGACUGCUUUCCUGAGAUAACACAGAGGAGAAACUAUGGAGGAUGUAUUAGAAAAGUCUCGCCUGAAAAUACAAGUCGGCUUUGUUAAAACCACUUCCAAAGCAUACCUUGGCUGUACCAGUCUGCAUUCCCACCAGCAG